rnacentral:tRNA from 1 species
GAAGGUAUGGCUCAAAUGGUAAGAGUGUAUGCUUAGCAUGCAUGAGGUCCUGGGUUCAAUCCCCAACACCUCCU